rnacentral:lncRNA from 1 species
UCAAAUUGAAAAUGCCCAAACAAUGUUCGCUUCUCCCUUAGGCAUAGAAGGAUUUUCAAAAACAAAUAAAAGCAAUUACUUAGAUCGAUGCAUAAUAACAGGAAUAUCAAGAGCAGUCCAAUUGUUGCAAGCUUUUCCAUGCGUCACAAAAUUGGUGCAGUCUUCCUCUUCGUCAUCCUCUAGCACAGCAGCUAAGUGUUGUUUAUUGCCAUGAAUGAACCCUCCACUACGGAAGCUG